CGGGGCUGGAUUUUAUUGUUGUACGCUGACAUUCAGGGUAGGAAAAUUCUCAAAGGUCUCCCUCUUGUUCCUUUUUUUUCCCUGCUAAAUCCUCUUUUUUUCACAGUUUCUUCUUGCUGGAAUACGUGGCACAUAACAAAGACAUCACCCUCUUUAGUGUGGGAUGGUAGUCUACCUCCAGGCACCUAAGGGACACUGGCUGGCUGCUCGGUGCUGCCAGGAUCUAGACAGUCCAGUUUCUUUCUCUGCAAGUCAGUCAGACCCUCUCAACUCCCCAACUCCCUGAGCCCCCAUCACUCCUACCUCCGCCUAAUUACCAAACCUAAAACCCCACUCAACUAAUUAGCCACAGCAGACCCAGGAACUGUGGAGACAGGAGCCCUAACGCUGCAGGAUGGAGAAAGGUGAACAGGAAACAGAAGGUGCCCAUGGAGGAGGUAUAUGACAUCUGUCAGGAUCCAGGGUGGGCGGGGGAUUCAGCGCCCCCCUUCUGCCGGCCGAGGGUCACCCAUCGCACUGCAGUCGCUGAAGUUGUCACGACACCGUGACACUUCCUUGGCAAUGGUGGCUGAGAGCCGGACAGCCCUCGGACGUUCAAGACACACACAUAUUUUUGAGGUCCUGGAUAGAGGAAGGUCAGCUGACAUGGCAAGGUCGACAAACAAACAAACAGAAGAAAUUAAAAUGGAGAAAAAC
ensembl:lncRNA